GUUAAAAAUUGCACGGCGCCCUUAAAUGGGUUUGUUAAAUUCUCAAUGUGGAACGCGAAAUCGGGAUACUUGGCGCGCAUUCUGGAAGACGAGGGAGGUAUGCUUAGCCGUAUCAAUCUUGAGAUGUAUGCUGGUAAUUUUAAUGGCUUUGAUGUUUAAUCUAUCGCUUUAAGAUUUUCGUUUCUGUCAAAUCCAUUUUAGUUCAUGAACUCAUGAUUGUCUUCCUGAGCGAUGAUUUGUAUUCGAUUGGUUGAUAUAUUUUCCUUUUCGUAAAUCUGAAAUCUGCUGAGCUAUAAAUUUAUGAAGGGGAUUGAUUAUUAACAGGAUGUUGUUAGGAUUGUGGAGGUUGUGAGAUUAUAGGUAAUAUGAAGAAUUCUGGAUUUAAUUUGAUAUAGUUAGGGCAAAAGUUUGAUCACAUUUCCCCCCCUUUUGAGUUAGAAUAUUAUAUUUGGGGUAGCAUCAUCAUCGGAUAUCGUGAUGAUUCUUUUGGAUUGUUGUUGUAAAUUGUGACAAUUGACAUGUUCUUAUUUAUUUGAUGAUUCUUUACACAGUGCUAGGAUCAUCCGAUUUUAUAUCGCCAAAUCCAUUUUUUAUUCCCAUUCCUGCCUAUCCCUUCAAUGCUGGAUGAUAUGGGAAUUAAGCUUUAGGAUAAUACCCUUGGUAUAAUGAUCGAUUCCUGCGAUUUACAUCCAGUGGUCCGUGUAGGAGCCGAUUUUUGGCUUCAAGACUUGAUGCCUUCUUUGGUUUAUACACAUUUAUGAGAAUGCACUAAGAUUUGUGGUAUUUAUGCUUCAUGUAGUUACAAGAAGAACAUAGUGGCUACUCUUGGAAAAUAUAAGAAUCUACUUAUGACUAAUACCACAAGGGUGACAGUUAUGUGGUUCAUAUUAGCUUACCAUAUUGGCAUUUGCUUGAAAAAUGUUAAACCAUUCAAGUAAAAGUAUAUAGAGUAAAUGGAUUCUUAUCCUUGAUGAUAAUUGUGAUGUUGAGAUUUGAGAAUGACCUUUAGAAUUUUUGUUCUAGAAUGGACAACUAAUGGAGGUGAGUUUUUUUUUUUUCUUUUUUUGGUUUCUAUUCUUCUAUAUCACUAUUGACCCAGUUGUCAAUGAGGACCAUGUAAAUAGUAAAGGGCUAAGAGGGAAUGGGUUCAAGCUUUGGUGCUAACCUACCUAAGGCUUAAUAAUAUCCUACGAAUUAUCUUGGAAAUCAAAUGAUGUAGAGUUAGGUGGUUGCUAUGUGAAAAUAGUUGAGAUACGCUCAAGUUCGUAUCUCAAGUUGGCCUAGAAGGAGACACCAUUAGCGUAACUUUGAAUCUCGAGGAGCUUGGAUAGAAUCCAAUGGUUAGAAGAAACCUUAAUGAUAGCUCGGGAAUGAGUUUCUCUCUUUCCCUUGCUAAAAUAUUUACUCCCAGGAUAAAUGAUUGGAGAAUAUCACGAGUGAAGUGAGAGGAAGAAAACAAGAACACUUCACCUCGACAAAACUGAAACUCAUUUUAUCCUCAACUCUAAAUUGAAGUUUCAGAACCUAGACUAUGCAAUUUCAUUAGCAAGAACUAUAAGACAUUCUAGUGAAAUUAAGCACUCUAAUCAUACUAAAGUUCCCGAUCCAUUAACCAAGUUAGUUUUGCGUCUCUAGAGUCUAGACUCCUCUUAAUUUUGACUCUCUAAAUUCCUUCUUGUUCUCUAUCUAAGCACUUAUUGAACUAUUUUAUUUGGCAUUUUUAUGAGGCAUAUAUGAACAAGUAUCAUUGUGUAUGCAUUCCAGAACACUGAGCACAGGAACUUUGAUUCUACUCUGAUGUACUGACAACUCUGAAGUCCUUCGAGUCCAUACAAUUGUUAUUUGGGUUUGUAUUUACAUACUAGUUCUUGUGAUAUGUUUAAGAAAAACAUUGAAUGACUUUGCAGACUAGCUUUCAGGUUAGGAAAGUCUUCAUAGGCAUAUUGAAUAUAUACCCCUUUUAAGGUUGAAUAAUCGUUUCUGAUUUAUGUCGGAGUCUCAUAUUGGCUAAAUAGGGGGAAGAUCAUGGUUUCAUAAGUGAGGGAGACUAUCUCUAUUGGUAUGGAGUUUUUUUUUGGGAGAACCAAAAAUCAAACCACGAGAGAAAAUCCUCAAAUGAUGUUACUAGAAGGGGCAGAACUGAAUUAAAUCCUAGUAAUGCCACAUUUGUAAUGUAAUAUUCUAGUAAGGUUCAGAAAUAGUACAAAUUUGUUUAAGAAGCUAAAUGAAGUUUCCUCAAGCUUUGGUGAAUGUUGUUAACUCAGAAAAGUUUAUAUCGAGACUGAAUAACAUAACUGAACUGAGCUUCGUUUAUGGUACAGGUGGGAGAUUUGAACUAGAACUUUUCCUUUUGGUCAUUUUAACGAAUCUAGUUGUGCUCAGAUCCUUAUGCACGGGAUACGUUAAUAAUUUAAUGUAUAUUUUUACAAUUUUUUUAAUGCUUCUUGACAAUUAUGUUGUGAUUUUUAUUGUGAUGGAUAGAAAGUCAGAUAUCAACCUCUGUCACUUCUGCAAUGGGUCCUACAUUCUAAGAUAUGUAUAAAGUACCAUUCUUGGAAGAAAAAGAAAAAGAAAAGACUGUGGGUCAUGAAGCCAUGUUGUGUACUUUGUUUGGUUUCUCUCCUAAUAGCAAAUUGAAUAGCCAAUUGGAAUGGUGACCCUUAAAACAUCCAUGUGCACCUUUGGACCACCUUCUCCUCCACACUAAUUCUAUUAGCUCCCCUAACCCUACCUUUUCUUUUCUUUUCUUUUUUCUUCCGAUAACUCUGUAUCGAGACCCUAUUCUUCUAGUCUUUUUUAGCCUUCGGAGAGCAUUUGCGUACUCCGAGGCUUGCUCUAAUUCAAGAGACAACAAAAAUUUUAUGGUAAAUAUAUGAGUUUUUGAUCGGCAGACUUAAACCUAA